GAAUCUUGUUCUGUUGCCCAGGCUGGAGUGCAGUGGUGCAAUCUCCACUCACUGCAACCUCUGCCUCCCGGGGUCAAGCAAUUCUCUGCCUCAGCCUCCCUAUUAGCUGGGAUUACAGGCACCUACCACCACACUCAGCUAAUCUUUUUUGUAUUUUUAGUAGAGACGGGGUUUCACCAUCUUGGCCAGGCUGGUUUUGAACUCCUGACCUCAUGAUCCACCCGCCUCAGCCUCCCAAAGUUCUGGGAUUACAGGCGUGAGCCACCACGCAUGGCCAUGUCUGGCUAUUUUUUUAAAUUGUUUUGUAGAGAUAGGAUCUCACUAUAUUGCUCAGGCUAAGAUUGAGCUUUUAUAUUGAAAACACACUCGUACAAAAUUUAUUUAUUUAUGAAAUGGAGUCUCGCUCUGUCGCCCAGGCUGGAGUGCAGUUGUGCCACCUUGGCUCACUACAACCUCUGCCUCCUGGGUUCUAGCGAUUCUCCUGCCUCAGCCUCGAGAUUAGCUGGGAUUACAGGAGCAUGCCACCACAUCUGGCUAAUUUUUUUUUUUAUUUAGUAGAGACAAAGUUUCACUGUGUUGGCCAGGCUGAUCUCAAACUCCUGACCUCGUGAUCUGCUUGCCUCGGCCUCCUAAAGUUCUGAGAUUACAAGCAUGAGCCACUGUGCCCCACCCACUCAUACAAAAUUUAAAAAUUUCAUCUCCUGUGUUAGAACAACAAGGUUUUCUUAAAGUAUUUAUUUGUUCUUAGUAAUAUUGCCAGUGGUUUUGAUUUUGCUUCUAAAAUGUUUCUUUAAAAACCAUCUUCUAAAAACUGUAAACAGUUUCUAUUUCUGCCACAUUUCUUCCUGAGAUCUAUUUAAUUUUCUUAGUUUCAGGUUGGAAAUGCUCUAUUUUUCAUUCGGAAUAGUAAUUUCAUUUCUUGAGGUAAAAUUUUCUUUUUGAAACUUCUCAGAUGUCUGUCUCAGAAGUUCAACUUUUGUGUACCUCGCUGCACAUGAUGAAGACAUCAUUGCCUUCUCUUUUCUCCUUUAUAAAAGAUAUAUCUUUUUGCUUGGCUGGGUUGAUAACUUUCUCCUUCAUUUUUCAUCAAUUUCAGCAACUUUUUUUUUUUUUCUGAUUCUCUGUCUGUUGUUAUGGCCUGAGGCUGAAAUGUUUAUUAUAAAGGCCUAGAAAAGUAAUGUUUUCUUCAGUAUAACUUGAUUCUGUACUCAUGGCUCUUCUUGCUGUGUCUGAAUUGUUCCAUGUAACAAAGAAACUUCCCAUGCUGUUACCAACAGCCGUGUAUUGCCCUACUCAAGGUAUCAGUUUUCUUGUUUAUAUUUCUCUAUAUAGUGUAUACUCACAACCCUGGAGAUGUUCUUCUUGUGUAUGAUUAAUUUCAAGCACCCGUUCCAUUAGGUUUGACUUCCAGUUUAUAUAAAUGGGCUUCCUAUAACGAGAAGCAAUCACACUGCAGAAAUUAAAAAAUAUAUAUUUCUGGUAAUUGGCCUAAGAACAACAACAACAACAAAGAUUUUAUGUUUUAACAAGAUAAUUCCUGUGUUGUCUUUAUUAGAUCUUUGAUUAUUCAGAAGAACUGGGCUUUGAAGGGGUUAAGAUAUUUACAUCCAUGUAACUUUCUGUAUUGCUUCUGAGAAUUCUUGAUAUCAUUCUGCUUAAAUGAAUGACAGUUAUUUUACAGUAACCUGAGAGUCUGUUUGUAUCAAGUGUUUUGAACCUUUUGAUAUCUUUGGUAGGCUCUGCCCACCAAAUCAAAAUCCUAAAUUAAGUCUUUUUGACAUGAUGUUAACUCUGAGAUUUUCCAGUUGGGCCCCUGGAGAGCAUCAAAAAAUGUAUCUCUCAUCUUGUAGAGAUGUAAAUGAUUGGGCUUAUUGGGUAAAUUGUAUGAGAGGCAUUGUCAAAUGAUAAGUGAUACUAUAUCUUUCAGUUACAUGUAUGGGUAUGUUAUUGAUAUAAAUGUUUCUAAAUUAUAUAAAUUCAUAGAAACCUACUAUGUUAUCAGCCAUAAUUUUAAUAAUGUUACAUCUUUUGUGAAGUUAUAUUUGUAUAGAUAUUAUUAAUGUGAAUAUUCUAAAGGUUAUACGAAAUUUAUAAAAGGCUCAUGGUCCUAUCAGUCAUAAUUCUGGUUGUUAUCAUAAAAUGCUACCUGUAAUAAAAAUAACUCGACUUCAUUAUCAAUUGAGAACUUCCAUCAGAUUUUUAACUUUAAAUAUUCUGAGUUUUUGUCAUCCACCGUUAUUAUUUGAAUUAUUCUCUAAAAGCAUUUGUGAUUAGCUAUAGUCCGAAAUUGUUUUUCAUGAAGAAGACAUGGACAAAUACUCUUGAACACAGAUUGCUAGUAAUUUUAGGAUCAGUGGAAUAAAUCGUAAUUUUCAGAGCUCUAAUAAAGAAACCGAUGGGUUCAUGAAAUUGCUAAUGAAGGUCAAGCAAAACAAAAAAUUAAUUACAUGAAGUUAAGUAAUUGAUUAAAUGAUGUUUUAUGACUUUUAUUUAAAACAGUGUUGAUUCUUUACUUCAAUGUUUUGAUUUCCAGAUUUAAGGACAUUGUUUUCUCAUAAGCUAUUUAUAGUUUACAACAAUUUGGUAAAAUAUACUUUUGUUUUGUU
rnacentral:lncRNA from 1 species